rnacentral:rRNA from 1 species
UGGGACUGAGACACGGCCGGUUAACUACGGGAGGCAGCAGUGGGGAAUAUUGCGCAAUGGGGGCAACCCUGACGCAGCAACGCCGCGUGCAGGAAGAAGGUCUUCGGAUUGUAAACUGUUGUCGCAAGGGAAGAAGACAGUGACGGUACCUUGUGAGAAAGUCACGGCUAACUACGUGCCAGCAGCCGCGGUAAUACGUAGGUGACAAGCGUUGUCCGGAUUUACUGGGUGUAAAGGGCGCGUAGGCGGACUGUCAAGUCAGUCGUGAAAUACCGGGGCUUAACCCCGGGGCUGCGAUUGAAACUGACAGCCUUGAGUAUCGGAGAGGAAAGCGGAAUUCCUAGUGUAGCGGUGAAAUGCGUAGAUCUUAGGAGGAACACCAGUGGCGAAGGCGGCUUUCUGGACGACAACUGACGCUGAGGCGCGAAAGUGUGGGGAGCAAACAGGAUUAGAUACCCUGGUAGUCCACACCGUAAACGAUGGAUACUAGGUGUAGGAGGUAUCGACCCCUUCUGUGCCGCAGUUAACACAAUAAGUAUCCCACCUGGGGAGUACGACCGCAAGGUUGAAACUCAAAGGAAUUGACGGGGGCCCGCACAAGCAGUGGAGUAUGUGGUUUAAUUCGAAGCAACGCGAAGAACCUUACCUGGGCUUGACAUCCCUGGAAUCGAGUAGAGAUACUUGAGUGCCUUCGGGAAUCAGGUGACAGGUGGUGCAUGGUUGUCGUCAGCUCGUGUCGUGAGAUGUUGGGUUAAGUCCCGCAACGAGCGCAACCCCUAUUGUCAGUUGCCAUCAUUAAGUUGGGCACUCUGGCGAGACUGCCGGUGACAAAUCGGAGGAAGGUGGGGACGACGUCAAAUCAUCAUGCCCCUUAUGCCCAGGGCUACACACGUACUACAAUGGCCGAUAACAAAGUGCAGCGAAACCGUGAGGUGGAGCGAAUCACAAAACUCGGUCUCAGUUCAGAUUGCAGGCUGCAACUCGCCUGCAUGAAGUUGGAAUUGCUAGUAAUCGCGUAUCAGAAUG